rnacentral:rRNA from 3 species
AACAUGGUAAGUAUACCGGAAGGUGUGCUUGGCAAU